rnacentral:rRNA from 1 species
AGUGAACGCUGGCGGUAGGCCUAACACAUGCAAGUCGAACGGCAGCACAGUAAGAGCUUGCUCUUACGGGUGGCGAGUGGCGGACGGGUGAGGAAUACAUCGGAAUCUACUUUUUCGUGGGGGAUAACGUAGGGAAACUUACGCUAAUACCGCAUACGACCUACGGGUGAAAGCAGGGGAUCUUCGGACCUUGCGCGAUUGAAUGAGCCGAUGUCGGAUUAGCUAGUUGGCGGGGUAAAGGCCCACCAAGGCGACGAUCCGUAGCUGGUCUGAGAGGAUGAUCAGCCACCCUGGAACUGAGACACGGUCCAGACUCCUACGGGAGGCAGCAGUGGGGAAUAUUGGACAAUGGGCGCAAGCCUGAUCCAGCCAUACCGCGUGGGUGAAGAAGGCCUUCGGGUUGUAAAGCCCUUUUGUUGGGAAAGAAAAGCAGCAGGUUAAUACGCCGCUGUUCUGACGGUACCCAAAGAAUAAGCACCGGCUAACUUCGUG